rnacentral:rRNA from 1 species
AGAGCGAACGCUGGCGGCGUGCUUAACACAUGCAAGUCGAAUGCGCAGCAUUCUGUAGCAAUACAGGGUGUGGGCGCGUGGCGAACGGGUGCGUAACACGUGGAUAACCUUCCUUCAGGUGGGGAAUAACCCAGUGAAAAUUGGGCUAAUACCGCAUAACAAAACGAUGAGACAUCUUGUUGUUUUCAAAGGCGCAAGUCGCCAGAAGAGGGAUCCGCGGCCGAUUAGCUUGUUGGCGAGGUAAUGGCUCACCAAGGCAAUGAUCGGUAGCCGGACUGAGAGGUUGGCCGGCCACACUGGAACUGAGACACGGUCCAGACUCCUACGGGAGGCAGCAGUGGGGAAUCUUGCACAAUGGGCGAAAGCCUGAUGCAGCAACGCCGCGUGGGGAUGAAGCUUCUCGGAGUGUAAACCCCUUUCGACCCGGAAGAAGCCCGCAAGGGUUUGACGGUACGGGUAUAAGAAGCCCGGCUAACUACGUGCCAGCAGCCGCGGUAAU